rnacentral:rRNA from 1 species
GGGAUUGCCUUAGUACGGCGAGUGAAGCGGCAAAAGCUCAAAUUUGAAAUCUGGUACCUUCGGUGCCCGAGUUGUAAUUUGGAGAGGGCAACUUUGGGGCCGUUCCUUGUCUAUGUUCCUUGGAACAGGACGUCAUAGAGGGUGAGAAUCCCGUGUGGCGAGGAGUGCGGUUCUUUGUAAAGUGCCUUCGAAGAGUCGAGUUGUUUGGGAAUGCAGCUCUAAGUGGGUGGUAAAUUCCAUCUAAAGCUAAAUAUUGGCGAGAGACCGAUAGCGAACAAGUACAGUGAUGGAAAGAUGAAAAGAACUUUGAAAAGAGAGUGAAAAAGUACGUGAAAUUGUUGAAAGGGAAGGGCAUUUGAUCAGACAUGGUGUUUUGUGCCCUCUGCUCCUUGUGGGUAGGGGAAUCUCGCAUUUCACUGGGCCAGCAUCAGUUUUGGUGGCAGGAUAAAUCCAUAGGAAUGUAGCUUGCCUCGGUAAGUAUUAUAGCCUGUGGGAAUACUGCCAGCUGGGACUGAGGACUGCGACGUAAGUCAAGGAUGCUGGCAUAAUGGUUAUAUGCCG